UAGGUUGCUGAAAGGUCAGGUCUGCUG
rnacentral:piRNA from 1 species